UUGUCCUGCAAUUAGCUUGUUUACUCCAUUAAGUUUGACUCUAUGCAUCUCAAACUGCAUUUUAGGAGUUUGAUUUGGAAGCGCACAUGAGAUUUUCUUUAUAACACAUAUCUUAAACAAGAAAAAUGAUCAUUUGCUGUAGAUCGAUGGUGGCAACCAGAUUUAGAUGCAAAGUUGCUGACUUUGUAUCUCAUUAACGUCCAUCUUCAUUUUCUUAGACACCAACUUCAUUGAAAUUACAUUGCAUGACUGCUUCCUUUAUUUUGUGGUCUGAUCUUUCUAGGAAAGAUGUGAAGUUAAGAUGGACAUCUUGAUGAAAAUUUUGGUUUAGACAUACAAUUUGGGGCUGGCUCACUCUCUAGGGCUACCAAUGAUACAGGCCUAAAUAAGGGCUGAAUCCUAGGCGCUUCUCUCUUUCUCUCUCUCUCUCUCUCUCUCUCUCUCUCUCUCUCUCUCUCUCUGUGUGUGUGUGUGUGUGUGUGUGUGUGUCUCGACCUUUUUUCAAAAUUUUCGGAAACGAUUUAGAUCAGUCAAAGUAAAUUAAGCUUUAUUUGACUUUCAAGGAAAAAAUUACUCACCUGGAAUUUUCUUUAUUAUUUUAGGGGUGGAUCAUAGACAACGUUGUUGUGCCUGCCGGAAAUGUCUAUGAACUUAGCGAGGAAUAUGCAUACUUGAGAAGCUCCAUUACAGAGUUCUGAACAGGAAAAGAACAAGAGAAAAUGGCAGAGGAAGUUGGAUUUCCAAAAGGCAUUAGGAAAUUGCUGGAGGUCGCAUGGGAAAUUUGGUGGCCACCUGCUAACUGUAAAGCACAAAGAACAGAGUUGAUGAUUUUUUGUAUCUUUUUUGAAGGAAAAAGAACUGGUAUCCUGCUUAUGCAAAAUAUGCACUCUGUGAAGCUUGCUUCAAGGCGCUGUAGGACAAAAGGUUGCAGAUGAUGGAAGCUGACAAAUGUAUAUAAUUUUCUGAAUCUCAACUGCAUAGAGGGACUUUUCGCGGCAUUUGUAACAAGCAAGUGAAAAGCAACAAUUCUGCGGAAGUGCCGGCUAUGGUUUUCCCAACACAGGCAAGGCCGUCAUUGGGAAAAUGCCAGGACUGACUUCUCCCGUCAAAUUUUAAGUGUCGGUGGAGGCUGUUUAUGGUGUCUUGCUCUACAUAUUUUCAUAAAAAGAAACCGCUCUUGGAUAGAACAUUACUGUUCCGUAAUCUGU